rnacentral:rRNA from 1 species
AGUGAACGCUGGCGGUAGGCCUAACACAUGCAAGUCGAACGGCAGCACAGGAGAGCUUGCUCUCUGGGUGGCGAGUGGCGGACGGGUGAGGAAUACGUCGGAAUCUACUCUAUCGUGGGGGAUAACGUAGGGAAACUUACGCUAAUACCGCAUACGACCUACGGGUGAAAGCAGGGGACCUUCGGGCCUUGCGCGAUUGAAUGAGCCGAUGUCGGAUUAGCUAGUUGGCGGGGGAAAGGCCCACCAAGGCGACGAUCCGUAGCUGGUCUGAGAGGAUGAUCAGCCACACUGGAACUGAGACACGGUCCAGACUCCUACGGGAGGCAGCAGUGGGGAAUAUUGGACAAUGGGCGCAAGCCUGAUCCAGCCAUACCGCGUGGGUGAAGAAGGCCUUCGGGUUGUAAAGCCCUUUUGUUGGGAAAGAAAUCCAGCUGGCUAAUACCCGGUUGGGAUGACGGUACCCAAAGAAUAAGCACCGGCUAACUUCGUGCCAGCCGCCGCCGUAA